rnacentral:rRNA from 1 species
CGUGAGGAACCUGCCUUUCAGAGGGGGACAACAGCUGGAAACGGCUGCUAAUACCGCAUAACACAUAGGUGUCGCAUGGCAUUUAUGUCAAAGAUUUAUCGCUGAGAGAUGGCCUCGCGUCUGAUUAGCUAGUUGGUAGGGUAACGGCCUACCAAGGCGACGAUCAGUAGCCGGACUGAGAGGUCGGCCGGCCACAUUGGGACUGAGAUACGGCCCAGACUCCUACGGAAGGCAGCAG